GAAUAUUGCGCAAUGGGCGAAAGCCUGACGCAGCCACGCCGCGUGAGCGAUGAAGGCCCUAGGGUCGUAAAGCUCUGUGGAGGGAGAAGAAUAAAGCCAGUGAAGAGCUGGCCUUGACGGUAGCCCUUUAGCAAGCACCGGCAAACGCCGUGCCAGCAGCCGCGGUAAUACGGAGGGUGCAAACGUUGCUCGGAAUCAUUGGGCGUAAAGCGCACGUAGGCGGCUUGGCAAGUUGAAUGUGAAAGCCCUGGGCUCAACCCAGGAAGUGCAUCCAAAACUGCCAAGCUCGAGUUCCAAAGGGGGCCAGAGAAUUCCCGGUGUAGAGGUGAAAUUCGUAGAUAUCGGGAGGAAUACCAGUGGCGAAGGCGCUGGCCUGGUCGGAUACUGACGCUGAGGUGCGACAGCAUGGGGAGCAAACAGG
rnacentral:rRNA from 1 species